rnacentral:rRNA from 1 species
UACGAAGGGGGCUAGCGUUGCUCGGAAUCACUAGGCGUAAAGCGCAGGUAGGCGGUUCGGUAAGUCUCUUGUGAAAGCUCCCGGCUCAACUGGGAGAGGUCAAGGGAAACUACCGGGCUAGAGUGUGGCAGAGGAAGCUGGAAUUCCCGGUGUAGCGGUGAAAUGCGUAGAGAUCGGGAGGAAUACCUAUGGCGAAAGCAGGCUUCUGGGCCGUCACUGACGCUGAUCUGCGAAAGCUAGGGGAGCAAACAGG